UCCUGAGAACGGAGAUAACAGCUG
rnacentral:misc_RNA from 1 species